UUCAAACCAUUACUACUGCUUAUAGUGACCAAGUGCGAGUUCUCAAGGAAUUAUUUUAUUCAAUUGGAGCGAUUUUAAAAUCGAUUUUAGACCGACAAACUCGAUGAGUAAACUCCUGAAAACACCCGAUGUUAACCCUCUCAGACCUGACAGUUUCCCGUAUGCAAAACGAACCGUGACAUUGUCGAAUAUUGUCGAGCCCUGAAGAAAAUCCCAACGUCGGCGAAGAUAAGUUAGAAUCGACGCAAAUUCUUACGUGACUGCACUGCCGAAAACAUUCCCCGUUCGUACAGUAUGAAAAGCAGUACGAAAGCAGUACUGAUGACGACAUGAACGUGAACAACACGAAAGAAGACAGACGGACUAACCUCCAAGUUGCGAAGGAUAACGGAGCUAAUGCAUCACCGCCAAGAAAAAGGAUCUCAACACGCAGCAGCAAGCUGCGUCAACAAGACCCGACAGACAGGCAGCAACUUUUUUGUUUUUUAAUUUUUACAUCUUUUAAAACACACAAAAGAUCCACGGCUCAGUUGUAUUAACGCAUUGAGCCAUGUCAAAUAAAUUAGAAGAAAAAGGUAUCCAUGCAAAACUAAC